CAAUAGCGUAUAUUUAAGUUGCUGCAGUUAAAAAGCUCGUAGUUGGAUUUCGGGUGGGAAUGGCCGGUCCGCCGUUUCGGUGUGCACUUGCUACGCCCACCUUGCUGCCGGGGACGUGCUCUUGAGUUCACGCUCGGGACACGGAGUCGGCGUGGUUACUUUGAGUAAAUUAGAGUGUUCAAAGCAGGCCUACGCUCUGAAUACAUUAGCAUGGAAUAACACGAUAGGACUCUGGCCUAUCUUGUUGGUCUGUAGGACCGGAGUAAUGAUUAAGAGGGACAGUCGGGGGCAUUCGUAUUUCAUUGUCAGAGGUGAAAUUCUUGGAUUUAUGAAAGACGAACUACUGCGAAAGCAUUUGCCAAGGAUGUUUUCAUUAA
rnacentral:rRNA from 1 species